rnacentral:rRNA from 1 species
GUAGGUGGCAAGCGUUGUCCGGAAUUAUUGGGCGUAAAGCGCGCGCAGGCGGUUUUUUAAGUCUGAUGUGAAAGCCCACGGCUCAACCGUGGAGGGUCAUUGGAAACUGGAGAACUUGAGUACAGAAGAGGAAAGCGGAAUUCCACGUGUAGCGGUGAAAUGCGUAGAGAUGUGGAGGAACACCAGUGGCGAAGGCGGCUUUCUGGUCUGUAACUGACGCUGAGGCGCGAAAGCGUGGGGAGCAAACAGGGAUUAGAUACCCUGGUAGUCCACGCCGUAAACGAUGAGUGCUAAGUGUUAGGGGGGUUUCCGCCCCCUUAGUGCUGCAGCUAACGCAUUAAGCACUCCGCCUGGGGAGUACGGCCGCAAGGCUG